CUUUGCUUCUCGCACGGUAGACAUCUGCUCACAACUGAAAUGCCUUGGAAGAACUUGAUCCCUUCGGGCUAGAAGAGGGAUGAACACGGGUAGAAGCUCUGCCUGCAUCUGCAGUUGCCAGUUUUGGGAUGCCCUGGCCAAGAGGAGACUGUUCUAUCUGAAUUCAGGAAACCAUCAGUCCAGUUCAGUAGUGUCAUAAUACCGAUCAAGAAUGAGCGGCACUGUCACAGUCCAGAAGAAACAUCCAGGCCUCUGCUGAGUCAGAAUGAGUCAGCAGGGAGUGACCAGAAUCAGCCUGAAUGCCAGAAGUUCUCUGCCUUGCCUCUCUCAACAAAGCGAAGAAGCUUUGCAAUUUUAUUGUUGGGAGCCGCGCCCAC